UAACUUCCCUUACCUCACAAGAAACAACUCCAACUCAAAUAACGCUUCGUCGAUUACUUAAACUGCAUGGAAUACCUAAAUGAACCUACGAAACACUAAAUUAAAAACAGACAGAGUCCUUAAAAUUCUAGAUGAACCAAGAACGAGAAGGAGAGGCAUGAUUACACAUGCAACAAUACCAGAUUAUUCUAAAACAGAUUUGGAACGAAAGGGAAAAAGGAGUCGGAAUUACUUGCUUUAUUACAGAAACU
rnacentral:lncRNA from 1 species